UUAAGCCAUGCAUGUCUAAGUAUAAGCAAUUAUACAGCGAAACUGCGAAUGGCUCAUUAUAUAAGUUAUCGUUUAUUUGAUAGUACCUUACUACUUGGAUAACCGUGGUAAUUCUAGAGCUAAUACAUGCUAAAAAUCCCGACUUCGGAAGGGAUGUAUUUAUUAGAUUAAAAACCAAUGCCCUCUGGGCUCCUUGGUGAUUCAUAAUAACUUUUCGAAUCGCAUGGCCUUGCGCCGGCGAUGGUUCAUUCAAAUUUCUUCCCUAUCAACUUUCGAUGUUUGGGUAUUGGCCAAACAUGGUCGCAACGGGUAACGGAGGGUUAGGGCUCGACCCCGGAGAAGGAGCCUGAGAAACGGCUACUACAUCCAAGGAAGGCAGCAGGCGCGCAAAUUACCCAAUCCCGAUUCGGGGAGGUAGUGACAAUAAAUACUGAUACAGGGCUCUUUUGGGUCUUGUAAUUGGAAUGAGUACAAUUUAAAUCCCUUAACGAGGAACAAUUGGAGGGCAAGUCUGGUGCCAGCAGCCGCGGUAAUUCCAGCUCCAAUAGCGUAUAUUAAAGUUGUUGUGGUUAAAAAGCUCGUAGUUGAACCUUGGGCCUGGCUGGCCGGUCCGCCUCACCGCGUGUACUGGUCCGGCCGGGCCUUUCCCUCUGUGGAACCUCAUGCCCUUCACUGGGUGUGGCGGGGAAACAGGACUUUUACUUUGAAAAAAUUAGAGUGCUCCAGGCAGGCCUAUGCUCGAAUACAUUAGCAUGGAAUAAUGAAAUAGGACGUGUGGUUCUAUUUUGUUGGUUUCUAGGACCGCCGUAAUGAUUAAUAGGGACAGUCGGGGGCAUCAGUAUUCAAUUGUCAGAGGUGAAAUUCUUGGAUUUAUUGAAGACUAACUACUGCGAAAGCAUUUGCCAAGGAUGUUUUCAUUAAUCAGGAACGAAAGUUAGGGGAUCGAAGACGAUCAGAUACCGUCGUAGUCUUAACCAUAAACUAUGCCGACUAGGGAUCGGACGAUGUUAUUUUUUGACGCGUUCGGCACCUUACGAGAAAUCAAAGUGCUU
rnacentral:rRNA from 1 species